rnacentral:tRNA from 1 species
GGAAUGUAGCUCAGUGGUAGAAUGCCUACCUAGCAAGCAUGAGGCCCUGGAUUCAAUCCCUAGCACCA